rnacentral:lncRNA from 1 species
CUCCACUCCUGCGUGCUCCCCACAUCCUUCUUUCUUUUUUUUUUUUUUUUUUCUUUUCCCUCUCCAAUCCCUUCCCCUGACGUUCCUGGAAAGCUGCUCGCAGGGCAGAGCGGCUCUGAGGUGCUCAGCAUCUCUCCGGAGGAGCCGGAGAGAGCAGCGUGCCCCGAGCCACAUUUUCUCUGCGGAAAGGGGGGCGGUGGGUGAGGAGGAUCGCAAGGUCAGUGGAGCAAAACGCCCCCUCUUACACCCACGUCCAGUUUCUGGGGCACGGGCUGUGCCUUCCCCCUCCGCUGCCCGGGAUUUCGCCUUUGUGUUACAAAGGAAAAGUGAGAGCACGGCGGAGGGCAAGCAGGGAGUUCCGACGGCGGGAAGGAGCGGGUGUGUGUGUGUGUGUGUGUGUCUGUGUGUGUGUGAGGGGACGGCAGCGGGACCGCGGCAGCCUCCGCCGGCCCCCGGCACCGUCCCCACACAAAGGGGCGGCGGGCGGGGGCCGGCCCUCAUUGUCCCCCUGGUCACGUCCUCCCGGCCACCCCCUCUCCCUCCCUCCUUGCACCGGCUCUCGGGAUUAAGCCCCCGUGGCUUUUUUUUUUCCUUCUUCUUCUUAUUUUUUUUUUUUUAUUAUUUUUUUGUUUUCCCCUUCUCACUUCUUAUCGCCCGUUUUGCUCGCUUUUUCUCCCUUUCCCCCAUCCUCUUCUUUCCUCCUUUUUCAUCCUCUUUCUCCUUCUUUCCUUUUCUCCCCUUCCCCCCUUUCCUUUCCUUUCCCCUUUCCCGUCUCCUUCUCUCUUUACCCCUUUUCCUUUUCUUCCCCUUCUUUUUGUUUCCGCCCCACACCGCUUUCUUCCUUUUCCCCACCCGUUUUUGCACCACUUUCCUUUCUGCCCUGUCCCUUUUCCCUCCCUUCCCCUUUUUCCCUUUCCCUCCCUUUUUUCCUCCUUUCCUUUCCCUUUCCCUUUUUCUUCUCCUCCCUCCACCUUUCCCUCUCUUUUCUUUCCCUUUUUUUUUCUGUUAAUUGAGGCGUGAGCGUUGUAACGCGCUGCAAAAAAAAAAAAAAAACCAAACCAAAAAACCCCCCAAAAAACCCAACAAAAAACCCCAAAUGAACAAAAAAAACCCCACCAAAAACCCAUCCCAGGAUGGGAGAGCAUAAAUGUUGUGUGGGUUCAGAGAUCGCCUUGAUUUCCGUGCCUUUUUAAUUUAAUUUUUUUUUUUUUUUUUUUGGCCUUUCGGUCUGAGGGAAGGGGGAAGUUUCCUCCCCCACACGGAGCGAGUUAGCUCGGCGGGGCUCGCCGGGACGGGGCGGGCGCGGUCCCGCGCUGCCGGGGCGGGGGCAGCCUGUGGCAAGGCUGGGCUGUGGGGGGAUCUCCGUGCCGCAUGUCUGCCGGGAGAUCGCGGGUUUAGUCCCGGUUUUGGGGUGGUGGGCUCGGUACCUUUCUGGGGCGGCGGGUUCGGUCCCGCCGUGGGGUCGUGGGCCCGGUCCCGGCCCGGGGGCGCGGCCGCUGUCGAGGAACGGGGCGGGCGCGGC